rnacentral:rRNA from 1 species
GAUGAACGCUAGCUACAGGCUUAACACAUGCAAGUCGAGGGACCGGCACACGGGCGAGUGACACGUAACCAACCUGCCCUUUACUCGGGGAUAGCCUUUCGAAAGAAAGAUUAAUACCCUAUAUAUAGGAUGGGGAUGCGGUACAUUAGUUUGUUGGUGAGGUAACGGCUCACCAAGCCUUCGAUGGCUAGGGGUUCUGAUAGGAAGGUCCCCCACAUUGGAACUGAGACACGGUCCAAACUCCUACGGGAGGCAGCAGUGAGGCAUAUUGGUCAAUGGGCGCUAGCCUGAACCAGCCAGGUAACGUGAAGGAUGAAGGCUUAUGGGUCGUAAACUUCUUUUAUAUAAGAAUAUGUAUUAUAUGAAUAAGGAUCGGCUAACUCCGUGCCAGCAGCCGCGGUAAUUC